UGGGGAAUAUUGCACAAUUGGCGCAAGCCUGAUGCAGCCAUGCCGCGUGUAUGAAGAAGGCCUUCGGGUUGUAAAGUACUUUCAGCGGGGAGGAAGGGAGUAAAGUUAAUACCUUUGCUCAUUGACGUUACCCGCAGAAGAAGCACCGGCUAACUCCGUGCCAGCAGCCGCGGUAAUACGGAGGGUGCAAGCGUUAAUCGGAAUUACUGGGCGUAAAGCGCACGCAGGCGGUUUGUUAAGUCAGAUGUGAAAUCCCCGGGCUCAACCUGGGAACUGCAUCUGAUACUGGCAAGCUGGAGUCUCGUAGAGGGGGGUAGAAUUCCAGGUGUAGCGGUGAAAUGCGUAGAGAUCUGGAGGAAUACCGGUGGCGAAGGCGGCCCCCUAGACGAAGACUAACGCUCAGGUGCGAAAGCGUGGGGAGCAAACAGG
rnacentral:rRNA from 1 species